rnacentral:misc_RNA from 1 species
UUCCGUUUCUCCUUGGAGCUUGCGCGAGCGAAGCGCGCCUGUGUAUAUAUUAUAAAAAGCUCUCUCGACUUUGGAGCGCGCGCGCCCGACUCUGUGCAAUAAAUCAAGUAUCAUAAACAUACGCGCACACGGACGGACUCGAUAUACGUGCACAGCAGCAGCUAACAGUGCGUCGAUCGCAUCUCGAGUUUUUGCCGAAAGAGAAAGAGAGAGAGAAGUGCCAGUAGUCUAUUAUUAGGAGGGGUCCAGCGGCGACUGCCGACUUUAACACACACACACACACACGUACACCUACACACUUGCAACAACAACGGCGCAGUUCGAGAUUCGCCACGAGCGCAUAUUAUAGUACAAUACGAGUAUAGAAGUUCGACAGAAAAUCACAUCGACGUCUUUUUCGCGUAAAGCUCAUUGAAUCUCUUACUCUCUCUCUCUCUCUUUCUCUUACGCUUCGAUAUCGUCGUGUACGCGUUUUGUCAUACCAAUCCCCGUGUACAAGUACUCGAGCUUCGGCGAUCGAACGGAAGCUCCAAUGUGUAUAUUACAUAUGUGCAAUUUUAGAGAUCGAUCAACGGGCAACAGCAGCAGCAGCAGCAGCGGCAGAGUCGUCGAGUGUAUAUAACGCGUAAACGAUAUAUAAUACAUACAUACGCGCCAGUCAGUCAGUUUGUGUGCGCGCUUAUGUGCGCGCGGGCGUGUCAGUGUGUGUGCGGUGUCAAGCUUGUGUCAGAAUUUCUCGUGUGUAUAUUAUUAUAACGCAAAGGUGAUGAUAUAAUGUGAGCAAAGCAACAAUCCGACUGUAUUAAUAACUAAAUGUGAUCGUGAUAUCCAAAACCACCACCAAACAUCCGAGGGUUUCCAUCGCCAGCAGCAACCAGCAUCAGGAAGCCGCACCGACGACAACAAAUCGACGUUCGACUCAGCAGCAGCUCCUCAUUUCAUCAUAUUAUAUUAUAUGAAGACACACGUAGUUCAACCGGACAGUCUAAGCAGCAAUAACAACGGCAGCAGCAGUAGCAGCAGCAACACCACCAGCAGCGGUCAUAAUACAGCCGGCACAGCAGCAGCGGCGUUAAAAAUCGAAAAGAUCCUGAGAUCGGAAAAGGCGCCGAAGAAGAAAGAACGCAGUAGGAACAUUGGCUGUGCAUUCAUUAAAUUUGCAUCCUAUCAAGAAGCACAAAGUGCAAUAAAUUCAUUGCACGGAAGUCAAACUAUGCCGGGAGCUUCUUCGAGUCUCGUAGUCAAAUUCGCGGAUAAUGAAAAGGACCGACAACUGAGACGCAUGCAACAAAUGGCCGGAAACAUGAGUUUGAUCAAUCCCUUCGUUUUUAAUCAGUUCGGCCCGUACGGAGCUUACGCGCAGCAACAAGCUGCUUUGAUGGCCGCCGCGACGGCGCAAGGAGCUUACAUCGGACCCAUGGCUGCGCUGGCUGCUGGCCAGCUUCCACACGCUCUCAAUGGCCUGCCCAACGCCGUUGUACCUCCGAGCACCGCUGCCGCGGCGGGUCAAACGGUGAACGGCGCCAUACCGUCCCUGCCGUCGCCGACGAUGCCCAACUUCAACAUGGCAGCGCAGCCGCCCAACGGCCAGCCCGCCUCCGAUGCGGGCGUGUUCGCCAACGGGCUACCUCAGACGUUUCCGGGCCCCCCGACUUUACCGAACGGCGAGGCGGCGCUGUCGCACGCCACCGGCGGUUACGCGCCCAUGUCCGCGUACCACAGCGUCGCGUAUCCAACCGUCUACGGUCAGUUUCCUCAAGCCCUCGCGCAACCGCUGGCAGCGGUGGCUCCUCAACAAAGAGAAGGUUGCUCCAUAUCGGGACCGGAGGGCUGCAACCUGUUCAUCUAUCACCUGCCCCAGGAAUUCGGCGACGGCGAGCUCAUGCAAAUGUUCAUUCCGUUUGGGAACGUCAUCUCGUCUAAAGUAUUUAUUGAUCGUGCCACUAACCAGAGUAAAUGUUUCGGAUUCGUAUCCUUCGACAAUCAAGCAUCUGCACAAGCAGCGAUACAAGCAAUGAACGGUUUUCAAAUUGGAAUGAAACGACUGAAAGUACAAUUAAAAAGGCCAAAAGAUGCAAGCAGACCCUAUUAACCUAUAUUAUCACUAAACUGAUUGAAAAUUAGCCAUAUAAUCCUAGAUAAAAAUAUAUGAUCAUAAACAAAACAAAAAAAACAUAAGUCCAGUGGUCGCUCAAACAUGUUACGCAUUAUAAAAAUAUGUUUCGAGAUCGCCACCACAAAUCCUUCAGACUGUUGAAGACUAGCAAUUAGAUAGAUAAUUUUUUAGGGGUAACGGACAAAAAAAUAUAAAUUGACUUCAUUGUAAGAAAUAGUUCCACUAUAAACAGAACAAAACAAAAUAAUGAACUGAGAGAAGAAAACCCUACGCUUUGCUGACAAAAGACUUUUUUUGAAGCAAAACAAAAAAAAA